UUAGAAACCUUCCCUUUUGGGUUUCAUGAUGUUUGGAGAAGUUGAAUUUGUCAUUAGUAGCAAUUUCUCCUUCUCUCUCUUCCAUUUCUCUUUUCUUCUCUUUCUUUCUUUUUUCUUCUUCUCUUCUUUCUUCUUCUCUUCUUCCUUCUCUCUCUUUCUUUUCUUCUUUCGUUUCUUCCUCUUCUUUUCUCUCUUGCUCUCUUUUUAUUUUCCUAUCCAUAAGCUUC
rnacentral:lncRNA from 1 species